CGUUCCUUUAUGAUGAAACAUUGCGGAUGUAAAACAUCUUGUCGGAAUUGCGCAAACAAAACCAUGUCGAGAUUUCCGCUGCCUUCCUUCUGAUCUGGAAC
rnacentral:snoRNA from 1 species